ACCUGAAUAUCAGACAUAUUCCUA
rnacentral:miRNA from 13 species